UCCUUGGAUCGUAAAUACUACAUGGAUAACUGUAGUAAUUCUAGAGCUAAUACAUGCCACUAUGCCCUAUUUUGGGUGGAUUUAUUAGUACAGAACCAACCGGAUGCAGUUAUGCUGUGUCUGUUACGCUCUGUGAUGACUCUGGAUAACUUUACUGAUCGCAGUCGGCCUUGUGUCGGCGACGGAUCUUUCAAAUGUCUGCCCUAUCAAUUGUCGAUGGUAGGUGACCUGCCUACCAUGGUGAUAACGGGUAACGGGGAAUCAGGGUUCGAUUCCGGAGAGGGAGCCUGAGAAACGGCUACCACUUCUAAGGAAGGCAGCAGGCACGCAAAUUACCCAAUCCCGGCACGGGGAGGUAGUGACGAAAAAUACGGAAACGGGACUCAUUAGAGGCUCCGUUAUUCGAAUGAGUACAAUUUAAAUCCUUUAACGAGGAUCAACUGGAGGGCAAGUCUGGUGCCAGCAGCCGCGGUAACUCCAGCUCCAGAAGCGUAUAUUAAAGUUGUUGCAGUUAAAAAGCUCGUAGUUGGAUCUGGGUCGCAUGGCUACAUGCUGUUGCUUAUAUUCUCAGCCUGGUUACGAUCGGGUUGGGUUUAUGGCUGGGCGUAGUGGUUGUGCAGCCUUUCUGCCGUGUCUGUUUCGCAGGUGCUGGUUGGUCGGUUUCGGUCGGCUAGCAUGCUUCCAGAUGCCUUUAAACGGGUGUCGGGAGCGGACGGCAUGUU
rnacentral:rRNA from 1 species